AUGGACUGGCUAGAGCAAUGGGGUGUCAUGCAGUGUCACUGGGCAGACAAAUGGAUCAAGUUUGACUAUCAGGGCAAAGAAAUCAAGUUACCAGGAGUGUUACCUGCUAAACAAGAGCAGAUUAAGGAAGUUUCUAUGGAACAGCUCAGGAAGUGGGACAAGGGAAAUGAUAUUUGGGCCACUGCUGUUUUGCACCAUAUUUGUGUCGCUCCAGUGACUGAAGUGCCAGAGGUAGUGUGGCAGCUGUUACGAGAAAACAAACCUGCAUUUGUGGACCCAAAAACCCUACCUCCUCAUAGGGAUUUUGACCAUGAGAUACACUUAUUACCUGACGUUGUUCCUGUCAAUUGUAGACCAUAUAGAUAG
rnacentral:rRNA from 1 species